rnacentral:rRNA from 1 species
GACGAACGCUGGCGGCGUGCUUAACACAUGCAAGUCGAACGGAAAGGCCCUGCUUUUGUGGGGUGCUCGAGUGGCGAACGGGUGAGUAACACGUGAGUAACCUGCCCUUGACUUUGGGAUAACUUCAGGAAACUGGGGCUAAUACCGGAUAGCAGCUCCUGCUGCAUGGUGGGGGUUGGAAAGUUUCGGCGGGUGGGGAUGGACUCGCGGCUUAUCAGCUUGUUGGUUGGGUAGUGGCUUACCAAGGCUUUGACGGGUAGCCGGCCUGAGAGGGUGACCGGCCACAUUGGGACUGAGAGACGGCCCAGACUCCUACGGGAGGCAGCAGUGGGGAAUAUUGCACAAUGGGCGGAAGCCUGAGGCAGCAACGCCGCGUGCGGGAUGACGGCCUUCGGGGUGUAAACCGCUUUCGCCUGUGACGAAGCGUGAGUGACGGUAAUGGGUAAAGAAGCACCGGCUAACUACGUG